rnacentral:rRNA from 1 species
AGUGAACGCUGGCGGUAGGCCUAACACAUGCAAGUCGAACGGCAGCACAGGAGAGCUUGCUCUCUGGGUGGCGAGUGGCGGACGGGUGAGGAAUACAUCGGAAUCUACUCUGUCGUGGGGGAUAACGUAGGGAAACUUACGCUAAUACCGCAUACGACCUACGGGUGAAAGCAGGGGAUCUUCGGACCUUGCGCGAUUGAAUGAGCCGAUGUCGGAUUAGCGAGUUGGCGGGGUAAAGUCCCACCAAGGCGACGAUCCGUAGCUGGUCUGAGAGGAUGCUCAGCCACACUGGAACUGAGACACGGUCCAGACUCCUACGGGAGGCAGCAGUGGGGAAUAUUGGACAAUGGGCGCAAGCCUGAUCCAGCCAUACCGCGUGGGUGAAGAAGGCCUUCGGGUUGUAAAGCCCUUUUGUUGGGAAAGAAAUCCAGCUGGCUAAUACCCGGUUGGGAUGACGGUACCCAAAGAAUAAGCACCGGCUAACUUCGUGCCAGCCGCCGCCGUAA